CGGGACGGGUGAGUAAUGUCUGGGAAACUGCCUGAUGGAGGGGGGUAACUACUGGAAACGGUAGCUAAUACCGCAUAACGUCGCAAGACCAAAGAGGGGGACCUUCGGGCCUCUUGCCAUCGGAUGUGCCCAGAUGGGAUUAGCUAGUAGGCGGGGUAACGGCUCACCUAGGCGACGAUCCCUAGCUGGUCUGAGAGGAUGACCAGCCACACUGGAACUGAGACACGGUCCAG
rnacentral:rRNA from 1 species